UACGUAGGGGGCGAGCGUUGUCCGGAGUUACUGGGCGUAAAGGGCAUGCAGGCGGUCGGACGCGUUUCGGGUGUCAGCGGGUGGCUUAACUACCCGAGUGGUCGAAAGACGGUUUGACUUGAGGACGCGAGAGGGACACGGAAUUCCGGGUGGAGUGGUGAAAUGCGUAGAGAUCCGGAGGAACACCGAAGGCGAAGGCAGUGUCCUGGCGCGUAACUGACGCUGAGGUGCGAAAGCCAGGGGAGCGAACGGG
rnacentral:rRNA from 1 species